GGUUAUUGUAGGGGAUCAAAACUAAUGAUGUGCAUUAAAGUCCUUCAGAGAUGACAAGGUGCUAUUCUGCUGUAAGGAUGCAGGAUGCGCAGGCAGCCAGAAUCCUCAGAAAAUGUUUAUCUGAGAGUUUUACCCGAAAGCACAGCCCUGUGUACUCCAUGUCUCUGUAGCUGAGCUUCAACAGAUGCCAGCACUGGGCUGAUCUUGUUCAUCUCAGCCCCAGUCUGUGUUUUCUUCUGAAGUAGAUAACAAAGCUGACUUGGACUAAUAUCUGGGAAUUCAGAAAGCUUUGUUUCAGAAAGGAAGAGUAAGUAGAAUCUGCGAAUGAAGCUGAACCUCUGCACUCAGUCUUCUUGAAAAAUCUCCAUUCUUCAGGCUGCCUAUGAGGACCAGGGCUCAGGCUGCGAUGGAGCCACUACCCAAUCAACGGUCAUGGCUUACUAUGAUGUUUGAAUGUCUACAGACGUAUCUACCCCUUUCAUUCUUCCCUCAUCCCCUUCCCUUUUAAACACGGCCCUCUUCCUUCUCUGUAAA